rnacentral:rRNA from 1 species
UACGUAGGGUCCAAGCGUUAUCCGGAAUCACUGGGCGUAAAGCGUGCGUAGGCGGACGAGUAAGUGCUAUGCGAAAUCCUAUGGCUCAACCAUAUGGACUGUAUAGCAUACUGCUCAUCUUGAGGACGGCAGAGGCAAGUGGAACUGGCGGUGUAGCAGUGAAAUGCGUAGAUAUCGCCAAGAACACCAAUGGCGAAGGCAGCUUGCUGGGCCGACCCUGACGCUGAGGCACGAAAGCGUGGGGAGCGAACAGG